rnacentral:rRNA from 1 species
AUUGAACGCUGGCGGCAUGCCUUACACAUGCAAGUCGAACGGUAACAGGUCUUCGGAUGCUGACGAGUGGCGAACGGGUGAGUAAUACAUCGGAGCGUGCCCGAUCGUGGGGGAUAACGGAGCGAAAGCUUUGCUAAUACCGCAUACGAUCUACGGAUGAAAGCAGGGGACCGCAAGGCCUUGCGCGGACGGAGCGGCCGAUGGCAGAUUAGGUAGUUGGUGGGAUAAAAGCUUACCAAGCCGACGAUCUGUAGCUGGUCUGAGAGGACGACCAGCCACACUGGGACUGAGACACGGCCCAGACUCCUACGGGAGGCAGCAGUGGGGAAUUUUGGACAAUGGGCGAAAGCCUGAUCCAGCCAUGCCGCGUGCAGGAUGAAGGCCUUCGGGUUGUAAACUGCUUUUGUACGGAACGAAAAGACUCUUUCUAAUAAAGAGGGUCCAUGACGGUACCGUAAGAAUAAGCACCGGCUAACUACGUG